rnacentral:lncRNA from 1 species
UGGGGCCUGGGUGAGGCGCUGGAUCUUGCCGGCUGCGGGGCCUGGCCCUGCCGAAGGAGGCCUCCUCUUAGGACAAGAGCAGGCGUGAUGCUUGGGUCCUGCCCUGUAGGAAUGAGCAAGUUGGUCUUCCCUGGUUCCCUGACCCAUAACAAGGGCCGGGGAGGGGCACUGCACUGGGUCUCCUUGGCGAGCCCGGCGUUCCCUCAUCCCACCAGUCCAAGUGCCCCUCGCUCUUUCUGGGGCAGCCCCACUCUCAUGGAAAUUCUCUAAAGAGUCAUCCUGGUGAUGAAUGCCAAGGGAGCUAAACUUAGCCCACCGUGGCCCUGCCUCCCUUCGCCCCUGCGUUGGGCUCUGCGUUGGGUGGAAGCCUUGAGAGCAGGGAGUCCAUCUUGGGGUCCUCACCGGGUCCGCCCUGUGCCCUGGGCCUUGUGCCCCGACCUCAGCCCACGGCAGCUUCAGACAUCCUUGCUCAUCCCAGAGCGGGCACUGCCGACUCUGCCCAGCUCCCGGCACAGACCCGCCCACAGGGCCGGGCCUGCGGGAGGACCCACUGUUCCUGGGAGCACCUGCCAGGCAAAUGAAUGACCUGAGGUCUGACCUGGUUGGUGACUCCAGGCCCCUCCUGGCCUUGGCCAGACCCUCCUCGGGCUCCUGGCUCGUGCCCGAACCACAGGGCUUUCCCGCCCCCGGGACCACAGGCGUGGACUUCACCUUCUGGGAGCAACGUGGUCUGUGCAGCCCUCGUGGCAUUCCCAGGAGCCUCGGCUUGCCGGGUGCUGAUAAUUUCACUCUGGAGCCCGACGGUGCGGCUUGCCAGCUUCCAGAUGAGAGGGGAUUUACGGGCUCUUAGGAGUUCAAGCGAGUUCCCGCCAGCAGCCGCUGGAGCCCCUGGUGGCAGAGCUGUGGGAAGCGUCCUGGCUUUGUGUGCCGGCCCCUGGGGUCCCCUCCCAGGUGGCAAGGGCUCCGCCAGCAGCCGCACUACUCUCCUUAUCUGCGUUGGAUUACCGGGAACCCGCUUGAACGCCUAAGAGCCCGUAAAUCCCCUCUCAUCUGGAAGCCGGCAAGCCGCACAGCAUUUAAACUGUCGACAGUUACACCUCAUUUGUUUACAAGCUUCCUGCGCUGGCUCAGGGGAACUCACAUCCCUGCAUCGGGUUUCCUGGGGACCCCCAGGGAGGCCCAGUCCUGCCCUCACUAUCCCGGAGGCAGAGGAGCCUCGUCCCACACUCGGGAAGGAAGAUGGAGGGUCGGGGGCUUUGGAUCCAGAGCCCAAAGCCUCCCCAGACCACUGGCUCAAGGGGAGUGAGGCAAAGGGAGCUGAGAGCUCCGUCCCCUGCUGUGAGCCGCCCCACUCUGGCCCCCGGAGUCAGCAGUGACCCUUGGGUCAACUCUGGUCUCCCAAGCUGGGGUCUGGGUCCCUGCAAAAGGAGAGAGAGUGAGUGCAGUGGUCGGGGCAUUUAUCCAAGUCAGCUGUGUGCCUAGACACACAUGGAGGGGUGGAGGCCCAGGGAUAGGGGUCCAGGUGACAGAGGCUCUUCGUGAGUCCCAGAAAGCCUGGGAAUGGCAGGGCCUUGUGUGCUCAACCCCUGCUGGCUGGGUGGAGGGUGCUAGGGCCUUAGAGACCCUCAGGGUGGAAACUGUGGACACCAGGGUGCGGUGGGUGUGAGCACAGGGCUGGGGACUCCUUCCCUGGGGUGCUGCCCACCCAGCUGAGGUCCACGCCCAGGACCUUCCAGUGGCUGCUCCAGGUGGAGAGCGGCGGCUGCGGCAGAGGCUGGAACUUUACCAAGCUUUGCCCCACCUGCGAGGGCUGGUGCCUGCCUGGGAGGAGUGUUUGUACCGAGCUUCCUGUAGGUGGGACGGGUGACCCCCGCCACCCGGGAAGGCGGAACGCAGCUCAGCAGAGCAGCUUCCCACCACUCCGAGUAGGGGCAGCCCCAUGGUACCUCUGGGGCCAAGUGUGGAGCUGCCUGU